rfam:Gossypium hirsutum cultivar TM-1 chromosome 19, whole genome shotgun sequence
AACCCAUGAUGAGGACACCUUCUCAAUAGAUCAUUGUAUCUCUCUCAUGCAUCAUAUAAUGUCUCCAAGUCGAUUUGGGUAAAAGAAGAGAUGUCGUUCCUCAACUU